rnacentral:lncRNA from 1 species
CAGGAGAAAGUUAUGCUACAGGACCCAGCUGAGAAAGCCUUCUAGAACCUCUCUUUGUAACCAGAAAGUCAAAGUGUCACCAGAGAAGAGUUCCCAGCCCCCUAACCCCAGUUCCUCUGACCUGAUGGAAAGAAGCUGACAGUGCUGCUGGGCAAAUCAAGGAGCACACAGAAGGAGAUUGGAAUAAAAUGGGAGAAAUGAAAGAAGGAGACCAG